rnacentral:rRNA from 1 species
AACGAACGCUGGCGGCAGGCCUAACACAUGCAAGUCGAGCGAGAUCUUCGGGUCUAGCGGCGGACGGGUGAGUACCGCGUGGGAAUAUGCCCUUCUCUGCGGAAUCGCCUCGGGAAACUGAGCGUAAUACCGCAUACGCCCUUUGGGGGAAAGAUUUAUCGGAGAAGGAUUAGCCCGCGUGGGAUUAGGUAGUUGGUGGGGUAACGGCCUACCAAGCCGACGAUCCAUAGCUGGUUUGAGAGGAUGAUCAGCCACACUGGGACUGAGACACGGCCCAGACUCCUACGGGAGGCAGCAGUGGGGAAUCUUAGACAAUGGGGGCAACCCUGAUCUAGCCAUGCCGCGUGAGUGAUGAAGGCCUUAGGGUUGUAAAGCUCUUUCAGCUGGGAAGAUAAUGACGGUACCAGCAGAAGAAGCCCCGGCUAACUCCGUG